GAUUUUCCAGGCAAGAGUACUGGAGUAGGGUGCCAUUGCCUUCUCCAUCUAGUUCACUGACCAGAGAUCAAACCCGGGCAUAGAGUCUUAGCUGCUGAACCACCAGGGAAGUCACAAAGCUGCCAUGUUUACUGUUAGAAACGGCUGUACAGUGUUUGCUGUUGGAAUUUUAGGGGGUUCUCCUUUAAAGGGGUACCCAUUUAAAUGAGAGGCCACAGUGAGCUUGUUUACAUGUAUUUUCUUGCAUUAAAGGAUUACUAAGUUAUGGGAUCUGGAACAUUCUUACAACUCUUAAUAUGUGUUGCCACAUUGGGACUGAAUUGGGUUAGCCCCUGAUUGCCCAGUUGCUGAUAUCUAAAGACACUGUUUUCCCUUGCCUUUUCCCCCACCUAGCAGUAUAUCAUAGAGAUUAAUGGAUCUUAUUUCUUCAUGGAAACUGAAACUACACCAUUCAUUAUUUAAAGGGACUUUCCAAACAGAGAAAUCCACUGGUCUAGGCGUAGGAAGCCAAUAAGAGCAUUUGCCAUCUCCCUGGAAAGCUUGGAGGAAAGUAAUUCCACAGCAGUAUUUGGGAUGUAGGUUAGAUGUAAGAUGGUUAAGCUAGAGAGGUUUAGGGGAUGGGAUAUAGUCUCCUCAAAUCCCCUGGGGUCUCUAGGAAGUAUGCCCUUUUACCUUUGUGCCUUGGCCUGCCUGGAAUGACUGCUCACCGUCCACCUGUCUUUCCAAAUUUGAAUUAUCCUCCCACUCCACCUUCUCCAGGGAGCCUUCUUCGAUUACUUCAACCUAUAGAAAAAUCAGUUACAGGAAUCUGCCUGGUGUGUACCAGCUGCUUGUAAUGGCUCCUGGGGAAACCUGGGCUUUAGAGUCACAAUAUUAACCGAGACUUCAGACAGAAUCUUUAUUCAUUCAGAAAACACUAUCUGAGUGCCUACUGUGCACUAGACCCUGGAACUACCGAGUAUCUGUCCUCAAGUCUUGUGAGAGACCCAGCCUAGUACACAGGCAGUUGCAACAUGGCGUGAUAAAUGAGAUAAAGUCGGUUACAUCAGGGUGUUUUGAAAAACAGAGGCAUCACUCUUGUCACCUCUUAAGGGUCAGGGAAGGCUGGUAUGAGGAAAAUUGGCAAAUAAACCAUUAGUAAGUGAGAAGUAGAAGCUUGAGUCUGGCGCCUUAGACCACUCGGCCAUCCUGACAAGUUGGAAUAAAAAUACCUGUUUUCUGGGACUUCCCUGGUGAUCCAGUGGUUAAGACUCUGAGCUUUGAAUGCAGGGGCCUUGGGUUCGAUCCCUCAUCAGGGAAUUAGAUCCUUCAUGCUG
rnacentral:lncRNA from 1 species